rnacentral:rRNA from 1 species
UACGAAGGGGGCUAGCGUUGCUCGGAAUCACUGGGCGUAAAGGGUGCGUAGGCGGGUUCUUAAGUCAGAGGUGAGAUCCUGGAGCUCAACUCCAGAACUGCCUUUGAUACUGAGAGUCUUGAGUUCGGGAGAGGUGAGUGGAACUGCGAGUGUAGAGGUGAAAUUCGUAGAUAUUCGCAAGAACACCAGUGGCGAAGGCGGCUCACUGGCCCGAUACUGACGCUGAGGCACGAAAGCGUGGGGAGCAAACAGG